rnacentral:rRNA from 1 species
UCGGGAAUUUUGGGCAAUGGGCGAAAGCCUGACCCAGCAACGCCGCGUGAGGGAUGAAGUAUUUCGGUAUGUAAACCUCGAAAGAAUGGGAAGAAUAAAUGACGGUACCAUUUAUAAGCUCCGGCUAACUACGUGCCAGCAGCCGCGGUAAUACGUAGGGAGCAAGCGUUGUUCGGAUUUACUGGGCGUAAAGGGCGCGUAGGCGGCGCGGUAAGUCACUUGUGAAAUCUCUGAGCUUAACUCAGAACGGCCAAGUGAUACUGCUGUGCUAGAGUGCGGAAGAGGCAACCGGAAUUCUUGGUGUAGCGGUGAAAUGCGUAGAUAUCAAGAGGAACACCUGAGGCGAAGGCGGGUUGCUGGGCCGACACUGACGCUGAUGCGCGAAAGCCAGGGGAGCAAGCG